UACAGAGGUCUCGAGCGUUGUUCGGAUUCAUUGGGCGUAAAGGGUGCGUAGGUGGCUUGGUAAGUCGGAUGUGAAAUCCCGGGGCUCAACCCCGGAACUGCAUUCGAUACUGCUUGAGCUUGAGUCCUGGAGAGGAGAUCGGAAUUUACGGUGUAGCAGUGAAAUGCGUAGAUAUCGUAAGGAAGACCGGUGGCGAAGGCGGAUCUCUGGACAGGAACUGACACUGAGGCACGAAGGCCAGGGGAGCAAACCGG
rnacentral:rRNA from 1 species